rnacentral:lncRNA from 1 species
AAUAACACAUUAUGUCCUGAAGUCAUGUGCACCUUGGCCCAAUGUGCAGGAAGUACUGUUGUCCCUGGGGAUCUUGGGGGGUAGAAGGAGAUUCUGGUCUAAGCUCCAGCUUUCACAGGCAGAACCUGCCCAUCUUGCUGUGAGAAUCUGACAGUACAGGCAGUGCCCACUUGGGGCACAAGGUGACACCGUCAGCUUUACUGACAGUACGUGGCUUUGGCAGUUUGAGGUGAUGCAUGUGCUCCAGACCACUGGGGGGUUUCACAUAGCACAAGAAUCAUACCAGAUCUCUCCUCCUUUCUCCAACUGCUGAGGCCCUAGCCAAGGAUUUCUCCGUGCUCAAGAUCCGGCCGCUCACACAGGGAACCAAGCUGUUCAAGCUCAAAACCUUGCAGAGGCCAAGGCUAUUUUUCUCUGCUGUGAUACUUUGCUGUAUAAAAGAAAUGGCUUCAAUAACCCUGUGAUACUUUGUUGUAUAAAAGAAAUGGCUUCAGUAACCACUCAAGAACUGGAAUUCUAUUGACUGCAAAACUCUUAUAAGGCAGGACUUCUGGGCAUGUCCACAGCAAAUAGAAGACUAAUUACUGGUGUUUCCGCACUAUGAAAUACUCAGCCACUUGGCCUGCUCCUUCAAAGAUGCCAGAUGUUAAGAGACCCAUGUAUCCUCAGAUAUUGGAUUCCCAGCCUGGAGAGAUUCUGUGUCUCAAACCAGCAUCUGACCACUUUGUAUAUUCCUUGGAUUAUUCUACCAAGAAGUGCUUUGGAGAUAGACAUUUGGCUCACAGAAAAGCAUCCUUUGUUUAUAGGCAAACAGGUAUGCAAUAUGAAACUAAAAUAGGAAAUUAUUCUUUGCAUUCAAUGCUAGCUAGUGAUUUAGAGGGCCAUUUAAAAU